CCUACGGGAGGCAGCAGUGAGGAAUCUUGGUCAAUGGACGCAAGUCUGAACCAGCCAUGUCGCGUGAAGGAGGACGGCCCUAAGGGUUGUAAACUUCUUUUGCAGUGGAAUAAAGUUUGCCACGUGUUGGCGAUUUGCAAGUACGCUGCGAAUAAGGAUCGGCUAACUCCGUGCCAGCAGCCGCGGUAAUACGGAGGAUCCAGGCGUUAUCCGGAUUUAUUGGGUUUAAAGGGUGCGCAGGCGGGGAAUUAGGUCGGCGGUGAAAUUUCGGGGCUCAACCUCGAUAGUGCCGUUGAAACCGUUUCUCUUGAGUGCGGAUGAGGUAGGCGGAAUUUGUGGUGUAGCGGUGAAAUGCGUAGAUAUCACAAGGAACACCGAUUGCGGAGGCAGCUUACUAAACCGUUACUGACGCUCAUGCACGAAGGCGUGGGGAUCAAACAGGAUUAGAUACCCUGGUAGUCCACGCAGUAAACGAUGAUUACUUGCUGUUUGCGAUACACAGUAAGCGGCGUAGCGAAAGCGUUAAGUAAUCCACCUGGGGAGUACGUUCGCAAGAAUGAAACUCAAAUGAAUUGACGG
rnacentral:rRNA from 1 species